AGAAGACGUCCAUCUGCCCGAAGAUGAAAAGGUGUGAUGUAACAAUCUGUUUUAUUUUGUUCGCAUUUAUAACUACAUAUUAGCAAUAUCAUUUUUCGUUGAAUUGAUGCAUCCUUCCACUGGGGCAGCCAAAACUAAAUAGUGGUGGAUACAAAAGGAAGAUGUAUAAUGAAGUUCGCGUAAAGAAAAAGCAAAGGGCGAUAACUGAUGAAGAGACAAUUCAUUUGCCCAGACCUAUGAUUGGAUUCGGGGUUCCUACGGAAUCCUUACCAGCUGUUGUGAAAAGAACUCUGCCAGAGCAAGCUAUUGGCCCCCCUUUUUUCUAUUAUGAAAAUGUUGCUCUUGCUCCGAAGGGUGUGUGGGACACUAUGACAAGAUUCCUUUACGAUAUUGAGCCCGAGUUUGUUGACUCG
rnacentral:misc_RNA from 1 species